rnacentral:rRNA from 1 species
GACGAACGCUGGCGGCGUGCUUAACACAUGCAAGUCGAACGGAAAGGCCCUGCUUUUGUGGGGUGCUCGAGUGGCGAACGGGUGAGUAACACGUGAGUAACCUGCCCUUGACUUUGGGAUAACUUCAGGAAACUGGGGCUAAUACCGGAUAGGAGCUCCUGCUGCAUGGUGGGGGUUGGAAAGUUUCGGCGGUUGGGGAUGGACUGGCGGCUUAUCAGCUUGUUGGUGGGGUAGUGGCUUACCAAGGCUUUGACGGGUAGCCGGCCUGAGAGGGUGACCGGCCACAUUGGGACUGAGAAACGGCCAGGACUCCUACGGGAGGCAGCAGUGGGGAAUAUUGCAAAAUGGGCGGAAGCCUGAUGCAGCAACGCCGCGUGGGGGAUGACGGCCUUCGGGUUGUAAACCGCUUUCGCCUGUGACGAAGCGUGAGUGACGGUAAUGGGUAAAGAAGCACCGGCUAACUACGUG